AUUGAACGCUAGCGGGAUGCCUUACACAUGCAAGUCGAACGGAGUGGCGAACGGGUGCGUAAUGUAUCGGAAUGUGCCCAGUAGCGGGGGAUAACUACGCGAAAGCGUAGCUAAUACCGCAUACUAUUGGAGCGGCCGUUAUCGGAUUAGCUAGUUGGUGGGGUAAAGGCUCAACAAGGCGACGAUCCGUAGCGGGUUUGAGAGGGCGACCAGCCACACUGGGACUGGGACACGGCCCAGACUCCUACGGGAGGCAGCAGUGGGGAAUGUUGGACAAUGGGGGAAGCCCUGAUCCACCCAUCCCGCGUGUGCGAUGAAGGCCUUCGGUUUGUAAAGCACUUUUGGCAGGAAAGCGGUACCUGCAUAAUAAGCACCGGCUAACUACGUGCCAGCAGCCGCGGUAAUUC
rnacentral:rRNA from 1 species